AGGGUUCGAUUCUGGCUCAGGAUGAACGCUAGCUACAGGCUUAACACAUGCAAGUCGAGGGGCAGCAUGAUCUUAGCUUGCUAAGAUUGAUGGCGACCGGCGCACGGGUGAGUAACGCGUAUCCAACCUUCCCUGUACUAGGGGAUAGCCCGGCGAAAGUCGGAUUAAUACCCUAUGUUUUCCGAAGCGAGCAUUUAAUUUGGAACAAAGGUUUACCGGUAUAGGAUGGGGGAUGCGUCUGAUUAGAUAGUAGGCGGGGUAACGGCCCACCUAGUCGACGAUCAGUAGGGGUUCUGAGAGGAAGGUCCCCCACAUUGGAACUGAGACACGGUCCAAACUCCUACGGGAGGCAGCAGUGAGGAAUAUUGGUCAAUGGACGAGAGUCUGAACCAGCCAAGUAGCGUGCAGGAUGACGGCCCUAUGGGUUGUAAACUGCUUUUAUAUAGGGAUAAAGUGAGGGACGUGUCCCUUAUUGUAGGUACUAUAUGAAUAAGGACCGGCUAAUUCCGUGCCAGCCGCUGC
rnacentral:rRNA from 1 species